AAUUUGCGUUAGGGAUAGUAGUGGAAAUCCUUUUUUGGUAAUUGGUUAAUAGUUGAUGGUUGUUGGUGUUAAGCAAUGCGUUUCAGCUGAAAUGAUUACCAAAAAAGAUUGAAACGGAUAGCCCGACCCUUG
rfam:Flavobacterium branchiophilum FL-15, complete genome.